CGGACGGGUGAGUAAUGUCUGGGAAACUGCCUGAUGGAGGGGGAUAACUACUGGAAACGGUAGCUAAUACCGCAUAACGUCUUCGGACCAAAGUGGGGGACCUUAGGGCCUCACGCCAUCGGAUGUGCCCAGAUGGGAUUAGCUAGUAGGUGGGGUAAUGGCUCACCUAGGCGACGAUCCCUAGCUGGUCUGAGAGGAUGACCAGCCACACUGGAACUGAGACACGGUCCAGACUCCUACGGGAGGCAGCAGUGGGGAAUAUUGCACAAUGGGCGCAAGCCUGAUGCAGCCAUGCCGCGUGUGUGAAGAAGGCCUUCGGGUUGUAAAGCACUUUCAGCGAGGAGGAAGGCCAAUAACUUAAUACGUUGUUGGAUUGACGUUACUCGCAGAAGAAGCACCGGCUAACUCCGUG
rnacentral:rRNA from 1 species